GCUCUCGACCCGCUCCAUUACAGCCUCGUCAAUGUGAAAGGGAGCGUGUUUGGCCCUCCAUUUCCUGUAGUCCACAAUCAUCUCCUUUUGUCUUGCUCACGUUGAGGGAGAGGUUGUUGUUAUGGCACCACACAGCCAGGUCUCUGACCUCCUCCCUAUAGGCUGUCUCAUCGUCAUCAUCGGUGGUCAGGCCCACCACCGUCGUGUCGUCUGCAAACUUAAUGAUGGUGUUGGGAGUCAUGUGCGGCCAGGGAGUACAAGAAGGGACUGAGCACCCCCCCCUGUCCACCUGGGGGGCUUGUCUACCCUGUCCACCUGGGGGGCUUGUCUACCCUGUCCACCUGGGGGGCUUGUCUGCCCUGCUGCUUGGCCAAGGAAACCUAUUUCAUGAAGCUCCCAACGAGCAGUUCUUGUGCUGAAGUUGAUUCCAGAGGCAGUUUGGAACUCGGUAGAGAGUGUUACAACCGAGGACAGACGAUUUUAACGCGCUACAUACUUCAGCACUCCCGAGCAACUACAGUUGACCGGGGAAGCUCUAACAGGGCAGAAAUUUGACGAACUUUUUGAAAAGGUAGCAUCCUACGACAGUGCCACGUUGAAAGUCUAUGUGCUCUUCAGUAAGACCAUUCUCCUGACAAUGUUUGUCUAUGGAGAUUGAAUGGCUGUAUCCUCAACUUCAUACACCUGUCAGCAAUGGGGAUGGCUGAAAUGACCAAAUCCAUUAAUCUGAAGGUGUGUCCACAUACUUUUGUAUAUAUAGUGUACUUUGAACAAGGUUUCACUAUCAAUUCAUCGAAAAUGUGAAAAGGCAAUCUGCAUAAAGGCAUAAAGGGCAUUUUGAAACAAGGGAUGAGCUUUCCUUUAAUCUACAUGUGUAUAAGUGAAGCUUUUAGAGAGAGGUUUAGUGCUUUUAUGUAUAAGUGAAGCUUUUAGAGAGAGGUUUAGUGCUUUUAUGGAUAAGUGAAGCUUUUAGAGAGAGGUUUAGUGCUUUUAUAUAUAAGUGAAGCUUUUAGAGAGAGGUUUAGUGCUUUUAUGUAUAAGUGAAUCUUUUAGAGAGAGGUUUAGUGCUUUUAUGUAUAAGUGAAGCUUUUAGAGAGAGGUUUAGUGCUUUUAUGUAUAAGUGAAGCUUUUAGAGAGAGGUUUAGUGCUUUUAGGCAGUAAGUGAGUAAACCGAUAUGCAGUAGGCAGUAAGUGGGUAAACUGAUAUGCAGUAAGUGGGGAAACCGAUAGGCAGUAAGUGGGUAAACCGAUAGGCAGUAAGUGGGUAAACCGAUAUGCCUAAGGGGUUAAUCGGUGUAAUUGUUCUAUAAAUAAACCGGUAU